AUUAAUAUAUGAAUGUACGUAAGUAAUAUGUGAACUGUUUUUAUAUGAUAAUAGAUUUAUUAUAUGUUAUGUUUGGUUGCUGAGGAAACUCAAGGUACCGACAAGUCGACAAAACCCCAUUAGUAUACUAGCCUUUGUUUGUGAAAUGAUUUAUACUCCUUUGUACUUAAUAUAAGCUGUUUUAAGAAGUGUUUUUAUUUUUUAAUAUAAAUU
rnacentral:lncRNA from 1 species